rnacentral:tRNA from 1 species
GUCACUUUGCCGGAGUGGUUAACGGGAUCGCCUGCUAUUAAACAGCUUAGCGGUUGGGCUUUGCCCGCGAGUGUUCGAAUCGCUCAGGUGACG